UGAGUGAGAGAGAAAGAGAGAGAGAGAGAAAGAGAAAGAGAGAGGGAGAUGGAUAGACAGAGAGAGAGAGAGGAUGCUGAGCGCGCGAGUCGCUUCCUCGAGCGAGUCUGCAGCGGCCGCGAACGUGCUCAGCUUCGGACUACCACUGGAGAACAGGGUAGAGAAGCUGCUACCGCGAGGGGAAUCAAUACCUCGCUCCUUCUGGAGGGUUAGCGAGGAGGUGUUGAGGGGAAGGAAGAGGUGGAACAGGAGCCACGGUAGUAGGGAUUCUGGUGGGAGUAGGAAAAACCAACCCCUUCUCUUUCUAUCUCACUUACUCUAACACGCAAUCGUAAUAUCUCUAUCUCACUCUCUAUUCCUAUUCCUGUUCUAGGUUGGAAAGAGAAAGAGAGAAAGAUAGAGAUAGAGAGAGAGAGAGAGAGAAGGGGGUGGAUAGAAAGCGUGUUUCGAAAGUGCUCAACUAGGAACGGUGGAAGGGAGUUAGGGGUGCGCUACCACUGCGGGAACUUGAAAAAUGUGUGUUGUUGUCUGUGAGUGUAUGUGUGUGUGUGUAUGUGUGAGGCAUGAUUCUUCUUCCUUCCAAUUAUAUGGAUAUAUAACGAAGAGGAUAUAACAGCAUUGGUCGUUGCAUCUUUCCCACUUAAAUUCGAUAUACGGAUCCUGAGUCCAGAGGUUGGAAUUUCCAGUUGGAUGAUAUUAUAUUGCGUGUGUCCUUCCUGCGAUUCGAUAUAGCGCGCGCAUCGUCCUAUUUAGAAUAGCUACGCUAUGUACACACACGUAUAUAGAUAGAUAUAUAUAUAUAUAUAUAUGUGUCUGUAUGUGUGUGUAUGUAAAUACUAUAUGUUCAUGCACAUGUACGUAAAUUUCUAUAUAUGUAUGUAGAUAUGGACGGAUGUUUGUGCUUUGCGACAAAAUUUUAAUCGAUGGCCACUGUAGGAUAAACCAGUCGCGAAUUGGUCCGUUGGAAAAAGCGCGAGAAAUUGCAUUCGAAUUGACAACGACAAGCACUCUCGUCGUCGUCAUCGUCUUCGUCGUCGUCAUUGGUUUACUUUAUUGAUCGACCAAAAGAAUGAAUAAACAUUUGGUUUGAUUAAUUGUAAAAUAAUAUGAAAGUGUUGAGAUUGAUCUUGCUAAAUUUAUCAUUCAUUCUAUUACCAAUAGGAAGAUAUUUUUUCCUUUUUUAUUUAAAUGCUAAAGUUUGUUUUUUUAUUUUAUCUUCGUUAACGAGCACGCGUCACUAUUGUGUGUAUCUACUAUUAUUCAUAUGGUAAGUGUAAAUGUGUGUAUACGUGUGUAUUUAUAUAUAUAUGUUAGAGAAGGAGUAUGCGCAUUAAAAGUAUACCUCGAAUAAGAUGAAGGUUUUAGUUUUAUUAUAGUUCGAUUUAACGUUGAGAAUAUAAACUCAAUCGAUUACAUGCUACGUAAAUAAUAUUAUCUAUUUUAUAAUUAACGUUAGAAAAUAAUUAGCCGUAACAUUUCAUAUAUAUCUUUGAAAAAUAAAAGAAAAUAAUAAAGAAAAAAAAACUAUAUUAAAAACAGUUAGUUAAACGUAUAUACCAUAAUUGGUGUUUCUGAUAACGGUUACUGCUACUACUGCUGCUACUGCUGCUGCUGCUGCUGCUGCUGCUGCUUUUUAAGGAUACCUAUACAAAGUUCCCGUUAAUUGAAGUCAAAGGAAAAGUUGCUCUGCGGUUGGCGACGAAUUCAUAAAACGAGUCGCAGACGAGGGAACAAAGUCAGCAGGUUAUCGAUAUUUUCUCGGAUAUACAUACGUAUGCGAGAGUAUCAUCAUCAUCAAACCAUAUGUCAACGAAAGAGAGUGAGAUAGAAGAGACAUGAGUGAAAAAAAAAAAAAAAGAAAAAGAAAAAAAAAAACGCGUUGCACCGUGUGUACGAUGCAUUCUUUCCACGCUCUCGUGCACUCGGCUAUUCUCUCAUCAAUGUGCCCGCAAGAAAGAUUUCUACAGGUGUAUGCGUUUAUCCUCUCUCACGCGAUGCGGAUCAGAGAGUAAAAGAGAGAGAGAGA